rnacentral:rRNA from 1 species
CUGCUAUCGGAUUGAUACUAAGCCACGCGAGUCAUUGCAGUAAUGCAAGGCAGACGGCUCAGUAACGCGUAGUCAACCUACCCUAUGGACGGGAAUAACCUCGGGAAACUGAGUAUAAUGCCCGAUAGAACACUAUUCCUGGAAUGGUUUGUGUUCCAAAUGAUUUAUCGCCGUAGGAUGGGACUGCGGCCUAUCAGUUUGUUGGUGAGGUAAUGGCCCACCAAGACUAUUACAGGUACGGGCUCUGAGAGGAGUAGCCCGGAGAUGGGUACUGAGACACGGACCCAGGCCCUAUGGGGCGCAGCAGGCGAGAAAACUUUGCAAUGUGCGAAAGCACGACAAGGUUAAUCCGAGUGGUUUGUGCUAAACGAACCUUUUGACAGUCCUAGAAACACUGUUGAAUAAGGGGUGGGCAAGUUCUGGUGUCAGCCGCCGCGGUAAAACCAGCACCUCAAGUGGUCAGGAUGAUUAUUGGGCCUAAAGCAUCCGUAGCCGGCUCUGUAAGUUUUCGGUUAAAUCUGUACGCUCAACGUACAGGCUGCCGGGAAUACUGCAGAGCUAGGGAGUGGGAGAGGUAGACGGUACUCGGUAGGAAGGGGUAAAAUCCUUUGAUCUAUUGAUGACCACCUGUGGCGAAGGCGGUCUACCAGAACACGUCCGACGGUGAGGGAUGAAAGCUGGGGGAGCAAACCGGAUUAGAUACCCGGGUAGUCCCAGCUGUAAACUAUGCAAACUCAGUGAUGCAUUGGCUUGUGGCCAAUGCAGUGCUGCAGGGAAGCCGUUAAGUUUGCCGCCUGGGAAGUACGUACGCAAGUAUGAAACUUAAAGGAAUUGGCGGGGGAGCACCACAAGGGGUGAAGCCUGCGG